rnacentral:pre_miRNA from 1 species
UCCUACGGAUGAGCAAAGAAGUGGCUUCUUGAGAUGGAAUCUAGUCCUGGUGAAGGUGCUGUGAA